rnacentral:rRNA from 1 species
UACGUAGGGGGCUAGCGUUGCUCGGAAUCACUGGGCGUAAAGCGCACGUAGGCGGCUUGCUAAGUCAGGGGUGAAAUCCUGGAGCUCAACUCCAGAACUGCCUUUGAUACUGGCGAUCUUGAGUCCGGGAGAGGUGAGUGGAACUGCGAGUGUAGAGGUGAAAUUCGUAGAUAUUCGGAAGAACACCAGUGGCGAAGGCGACUUACUGGACACAUAUUGACGCUGAGGUGCGAAAGCGUGGGGAGCAAACAGG